AAAUUGAAGAGUUUGAUCAUGGCUCAGAUUGAACGCUGGCGGCAGGCCUAACACAUGCAAGUCGAACGGUAGCACAGAGAGCUUGCUCUCGGGUGACGAGUGGCGGACGGGUGAGUAAUGUCUGGGAAACUGCCUGAUGGAGGGGGAUAACUACUGGAAACGGUGGCUAAUACCGCAUAACGUCGCAAGACCAAAGAGGGGGACCUUCGGGCCUCUUGCCAUCAGAUGUGCCCAGAUGGGAUUAGCUGGUUGGUGAGGUAACGGCUCACCAAGGCGACGAUCCCUAGCUGGUCUGAGAGGAUGACCAGCCACACUGGAACUGAGACACGGUCCAGACUCCUACGGGAGGCAGCAGUGGGGAAUAUUGCACAAUGGGCGCAAGCCUGAUGCAGCCAUGCCGCGUGUAUGAAGAAGGCCUUCGGGUUGUAAAGUACUUUCAGCGGGGAGGAAGGUGUUGUGGUUAAUAACCGCAGCAAUUGACGUUACCCGCAGAAGAAGCACCGGCUAACUCCGUGCCAGCAGCCGCGGUAAUACGGAGGGUGCAAGCGUUAAUCGGAAUUACUGGGCGUAAAGCGCACGCAGGCGGUCUGUCAAGUCGGAUGUGAAAUCCC
rnacentral:rRNA from 1 species